rnacentral:rRNA from 1 species
UCGGGAAUUUUGCACAAUGGCCGAAAGGCUGAUGCAGCAACGCCGCGUGAGCGAAGAAGGCCUUCGGGUUGUAAAGCUCUGUUGCCUGCGAAGAAGGGCCCUGUCAGGAAAUGGGCGGGGUUUGACGGUAGCAGGCGAGGAAGCCCCGGCAAACUACGUGCCAGCAGCCGGCGUAAUACGUAGGGGGCGAGCGUUGUCCGGAAUUACUGGGCGUAAAGGGCGUGUAGGCGGCCUGUUAAGUCAGGGGUGAAAGACCGGGGCUCAACCCCGGGGGUGCCUCUGAAACUGGCGGGCUUGAGUGCUCUAGAGGGCAGUGGAAUUCCCGGUGUAGCAGUGAAAUGCGUAGAGAUCGGGAGGAACACCAGUGGCGAAGGCGGCUGCCUGGGGAGUCACUGACGCUGAGGCGCGAAAGCUAGGGGAGCAAACAGG